rnacentral:rRNA from 1 species
GCCAGACUCCUACGGGAGGCAGCAGUGGGGGAUAUUGCACAAUGGGGGGAACCCUGAUGCAGCGACGCCGCGUGGGUGAAGGAGCGUUUCGGCGCGUAAAGCCCUAUCGGCAGGGAAGAAGGAGGACGGUACCUGACUAAGAAGCCCCGGCUAACUACGUGCCAGCAGCCGCGGUAAUACGUAGGGGGCAAGCGUUAUCCGGAUUUACUGGGUGUAAAGGGGGCGCAGACGGCAGCGCAAGCCAGGAGUGAAAGCCCGGGGCCCAACCCCGGGACUGCUCUUGGAACUGCGCGGCUGGAGUGCAGGAGGGGCAGGCGGAAUUCCUGGUGUAGCGGUGAAAUGCGUAGAUAUCAGGAGGAACACCGGUGGCGAAGGCGGCCUGCUGGACUGCGACUGACGUUGAGGCCCGAAAGCGUGGGGAGCAAACAGGAUUAGAUACCCCAGUAUU